AUGCCUACUCUAGCUCAAAACUCCUUCAUAUAAGCACAAAAAUUCUUUAUGAAAUAACUAAAACAUUCUCUUCACUUAGUAUAGGCGAUAGAAAAGUAAUUUGACGCAAUAGAGACUCGUACCGUAAGGGAAAGUUGAAAUAAUAGUGAAAACUAAAGCAAAAAACAGCAAAGACUAACCCUUGUACCUUUUGCAUCAUGAUUUAGCAAGAAUACCCAAGCAUAAUGCAUUUUAGCUUGUCAUCCCGAAACCUACGCGAGCUACUCACAAGCAGCUAUAUAUGAGCAAACCCGUCUCUGUGGCAAAAGAGUGGGAAGACUUGUUAGUAGAGGUGAAAAGCCAAUCGAGCUAGGUGAUAGCUGGUUGCCUGCGAAACGAAUUUGAGUUCACCCCUAAAUCUCCCUCCAGGACCCUUAUACCAACCUUAACGUGAUAUUUAGGAGCUAUUUAAAGGAGGUACAGCUCCUUUAAACUAGAACACAAUCUCCACAAGAGGGUAAUAUUCUUAUCCUAAGAUAUGUAGGCCUUUAAGCAGCCACCAACUAAGAGUGCGUCAAAGCUCAUCUAAUUAAUCAAAAGAUAUUAAAAGCACAAAGAACCCCUAUCCAAUAGCAGGCUAACCUAUGAUUAUAGGAGAAUUUAUGCUAAAAUGAGUAAUUUGAAGACUUACUUCUCUAAGCGCAAACCUACAUUUUAAAUUAUUAACAGCUUGACUUAUAUUACAAUCACACAAGAACAAGUAUUUAACCAAUCUGUUACCCCGACUCAGGAGCGCCUAAAACAGAGCGAUUAAAAUCUGCAAAAGGAACUAGGCAAACCCAAGGCCCGACUGUUUACCAAAAACAUAGCCUUCAGCCCCACAAGUAUUGAAGGUGAUGCCUGCCCAGUGACUAUAGUUCAACGGCCGCGGUAUCCUAACCGUGCGAAGGUAGCGCAAUCAAUUGUCCCAUAAAUAGAGACUUGUAUGAAUGGCUAAACGAGGUCUUAACUGUCUCUUGCAGAUAAUCAAUGAAAUUGAUCUCCUUGUGCAAAAGCAAGGAUAACUCCAUAAGACGAGAAGACCCUGUGGAACUUAAAAAUCUAAGGUCAAUGCAAACACAACUAAACCAAAAGGUCCACUACAUAUGCACCCAUGACCUUCAUUUUUCGGUUGGGGCGACCUUGGAGUAUAGACAAACCUCCAAAAAUAGGGCCACAUACCCUGACUUAGAGCAACCCCUCAAAGUGCUAACAGUAACCAGACCCAAUAUAAUUGAUCAAUGAACCAAGCUACCCCAGGGAUAACAGCGCAAUCUCCUUCAAGAGCCCCUAUCGACAAGGAGGUUUACGACCUCGAUGUUGGAUCAGGACAUCCUAAUGGUGCAGCCGCUAUUAAGGGUUCGUUUGUUCAACGAUUAACAGUCCUACGUGAUCUGAGUUCAGACCGGAGUAAUCCAGGUCGGUUUCUAUCUAUGUUUUACUGUUUCUAGUACGAAAGGACCGAAACAGUGAGGCCUAUAUUAGUCUAACACGCCUCCUUUCCAAUUAGUGAAAUCAACUCAACUAAUAAGAAAACUUACUCAACAAAUCCUAGAUAAGGAUAG
rnacentral:rRNA from 1 species